GUGGGAGGGCGCGCGUCCAACGAAACCGAAAACUGGCACCGUAAUGUUUGUGAUCAUCGGCACCAGAAUUUUUUUUCACAGUGCUCGAUUUGUCACACUUCUACUUUAUUUAAAUCCAAAGCAAAUACAGUUUACCUCAGUGAUGAUAGCCUCCAGAUUUUGGAAAAUUAAUCAACUGCGAUCGACCUCAAGUACCAAACGCGAGGAGGAACAUCAUUGCCACACCAAUGCACGUCAAUGGAGCUUUUAUUUUUGCUCUUUUUCAUCACCUCUCUGCGUAUCCAGUCAACAGUUUUGUCAGCUGAUGAGUGGGUGACAUCUAGUGCCAGUUUGGGGAAGUUUUUCUUCCGCUCAAAGCGUACUGUGCUCUUUAUAAACACACUCUGAACAUGUACUGAGGUGGUUUCUUUGACCUUCAUCUGAAUCAUCUAGCCUAUCUAACAAUCUGGAUCACUUGGGCAACCAUCCUCUUUGUAUUUCUUUACGCUUUGACAACCCAAAGACCAUGUGUUUCAGUAUACAUCCUAUCAUUACUAAAUUUGCCCCUUUAACCACAUGCUAAUUUGUUCUCCUGGAAUUACAGGUGUGUUUCAGCAAGUCAGAUAUGCUAAAAAUCCUCUAAGCUUGGCCCCAACCCUGAGAAGUGGACUUAGAGUGCAUCAAAAGACUGGACCAGGAGACUACCACUACCAUAUUCCUAGUACCAAGCCAGCCCUGAACCAGAGAAAAUGUCAUCUUACUUGGAUUCAGGAGAAAAAGACUCGACUGUUGCUCCAAGGUCCAAAGUCCUCUUUUCAGGUCAGUAAAAUCAUAUUUUUUCUUGGAAACCAGGGUCUUUCAGUUUGAAGGACAAGUACUGGAGCUUGGUCACUCCAUGUGAGGACCCUGAUGCUGAUGUUGAUUCCCUUUUCAGGCUGGAUUUAGCACCUGCUCUCAGCGCCAAAACUGCUACUAAACGAUUUGCUGACCAUGAUAGCUGAAACUGAUUUACAGGUCUAUCAGGGCAGGUUCAAGCCCCCUUUACUUAAACCUGAAUCUGUCUGACAUUUGACAAGAAGAGCAGAAACCCCAGAGUCAAAAAUACAGACUGGCUUAUUAAGACGACUAUCACAGUAACCUUGGUCUCUGUGUAGCUAGCUUAAAGGUUGUCUGUGGUACUAUCGCCUCUCUGGCCGUUAGGUUUUGUUUACAAUGCUGUCAGUCAUAAAUAUGCUUUCAUUCAAAGGCCUUUCCUUAAAUAGUUUUAAACAAUUGAUAUAAAUGGUGUUAUAGCUUUAGUAGGAGCUCUAGACCUCGAAAAUUUCAAUUGGCUGUGUGCUUCCUGCGGGUAAAAUGGAUGCAAAUGACUCGGUCCACUCGCCAUAAAACACCCUGUUCUCAUUCUCUACCUUUCGUGGUUUUGAAGCCGACAUGUUUAGCUGCUGCUACAACUUUCUCCUCAGUCUGCAGCCUGACAGUUUUCAACAUCGGGAUUGCUCGGUAAUCAUCAUGUGUGGAGUAGGCUAAGAGGUCUGAUUUGAUUGACAAGUCAAGCGAGUAAGCAAAUGAUGUAAUGCCUUGCUUAAAUUGCACGUGCAGUUUACUGAACCAGGCACAAAGCAAGAGAGUAAGGCUGCACGAUAUUGGAAAAAAAUAACAGUGCGAUUUUUUUCAACCCUGCGAUAUAUAUUGCGAUAUUAAAAAUACGGGAAUUUUCACCAGAUGACCUGAAUAGCAUUUAAUGUUAUGCUGCACCGCUGAAAUCUUGAGGACAGUUAACCUGCACUGAUCUUACCUCUUUUUGUGAAUGUUAAAAUGGCUUCUGUCUGUCUCAGAGAUAUUUUUAGCUUUUAUUGUGCUGGGACGUUAUUGUGGCGACAGAUGAACACAGAACACGUGUUUUGGUCAACAUCAUCCUUCUUUUAACCGAAAUAAUUCCAGAUAACUGACUUUCCUUUUCUUUUUGGCAACAAAUCUUCAUUUUCGGUGGUUUUCUCUUGUUCGUUGCUCAUUUUGCAAUCGUUGUUGUUGUUGUUAGCGGUGCUGUGCCGAGAAACGCAUGUCCUCCGAGAAUUGCAUGCACCUCGCAAAACGCGCACCGCUUAUAGUAGAGUGGUCCACGGAAAUGUACAAUUUAAAACCCAUACAGUUCUUAUUUGUUGGGCUUAACAGUCAGUAAAGUUCCGAAAGUAAUUCUCAGCGGACGCGCAUUUCUCGGCUCAACACCAGCAGCGAGUACCUCCAUGUGCAGAACAUGUGCAGGGGUGGGUUUCCGCCUCUCUGAUUUUGAUUGACAGCUGGCAGGGUAGUCUGAUUGGCAACUGAGAACUGAGUCUGAUUGGCAACUGAGUAAAGGACAAAGGUGAUUGGUGGAUCGGUGCACAGCACAUGCAGAGUCACAUGCUGUGUAUCUCAGUCAGCUACCCUUGAAUUAACUGAGUUCAUUCACCUCCGACAUCGCAGGCUCUGCGAUGUGACUGUCACACACACGUAUAUCGUGCAGGCCUACAAGAGAGAAAAAAAACAUACAUUUUUAUGCGGUAGGCUCGGGUCCGUAUUGGACUCUUUCCCGGUCCGGAAGUGGACCGCGGUCCGCCAUAUGGAGACCACUGGUCUAGAUUCAUUAUAUUUUUAGAUGGAAUUUAGACGUUGCACUUUAACCCAUUAUUCAAUAACCACCUAUUUCAAAAAGUAACUGUGAGUUGAACUGUCUCCGAGUACUUAACCAAAAUAAUUAUGAUAAACAUUGAGCGAUAUACAGUUAGACCUCUGUUAGCCGGCUAGUCUAAACUGGGUUUAAAUUUAGAAGUCUAAAAACCUUUCAUUUUUAGACCUGUGGUAGCCUGAUUUUAGACCAGUCGUCUAGACUACUAGACGUCUAUUAGACCUCUUUUAGACCAAAAUUUCUCAUUGGGAUGAGCACGCCCGUGUUCCCUUAGUUGUAAAUUUUACCUCAUCAUACCAGCGAUGCAAAAGUGUUAACGGGAUAAUAUUUAAGAUGCAUAUCAUUGAGUGUAAAUUAGUUUACUCAUGUUAGAAUGUCAUUUUCAGGUGAUAGAACACAGAAUUGGAUGAACUUGUUUUCUUAAACCAAAUGUUGACCGAAAAAAUGUUUAUUAACAUACAACAUUCAAGUACUUCAAACAAUUGACAUAUUAACACAAUUUAGCCACUCCAGGUAGCAUUUGUUUGCCAUCAGAUACAUUGAUAAAAGGAAAAAAUUUUGAAAGAGAAAAAAAGGUGGUUACUGCAAGCUUUUAGAGUGUUAGUGGGAGGCAAAAUUUGAGCGUCAAAGAGCAUCAACAGGCAAAACAUUCAACGCAAAAAAAAUUGACUCAGUGUGGGGGAGAAUAAGAAGAGUCUGACACAGUCCUGGAUGGGCCAGCACACAGGAGAGGUGAUGUCCUGAUGUUGAGCUCCAGGUUUUCCAUGAUCUUGUUCAUCUUUACAUUCAGCUUCUUUUGUUGCUUAGAUAAAGGAUCCCCACAACUGGGAGAUAAAACCAAGCAGACAACACAGUUUUUUCCAGAUUUGUCAGUGUUUUUAAAACUGCUGUAAGACCAAAAUAGGCCGUCUAACCAUGAAAGGGUACUUACCAACAAUAAUUAAUGGGAUCUGUUGUAAGACAAGCAGUAUCAGGAAGAGAGGAGACCAUGAUGCAGAUUCAAGGAUUUCUGUUUUGUCUCCAUACUUUAUCUGGGACAAAGAAACAAUCAAACUGUAUAAGAAAGGAUUUCAAAAAGGAAGUCUGUGUUUCUGUAAAAGCUUUAGAGACACAUGUAUAUUUUAUCUAUCAAAAGCAUGGUUUAAUUUGGAGUGGCACGACUAAAAACUUACCUCCAAUUCUUGAAAAUCUGUGAUGCUUGAAUUUUUAAUCUCACAAAUGAAAUACUCGGUGUUGCCACUGGCUCCUUUCUCUUCCAUUUCGCAGGGGUAUUUUUGUCCUUCAUGAAUACCCCACACUGAUAUCUCUUCAGGGCUCAUCUCGAGUUUGUCUGCCUUUUUCUGAAACAAGAACAGAAAAAAAUUGCUGAUAUUCAAAUUUUAAUCUCCUCAUUGCGCAUGUGUGCUGGAAAAUCUUGCAUUACCUGUAUAGUGAUGUGGACACUGUCCCCUAUCUUUGUAGACGUGAAGCUUGUAAACUCAGGGUCUGGGUAGUAGGUUAUUUUUGUGGGACAGGUCAAGCUCUCAUUGGCUACUUUCAGGGUCAAAGUGCUGGAAAAAGUCCCUUGAGCAUUUUCAGCUGCAGGUGAGUCGUAGGUGAGAUUCUUGAGUGCCUGUCAAAAACAUUUUGUGUCACGUUAUAGAGAGCUUACAUCUUGUUACAUGAUACACAUACCGAUCAGAAAUCAUGCACGACUAUAAUUGGAGCCAUUUGGAGGGGCCGACUGUUCAUGAAUAGCUUCUUGGAUGCAAUGAAAACAGUAUAAUCUGUGAUUGUAUUUGUCAAACCCUGUACUAUCUGACUUCCACUGUUUUGUAAGAUCAAGCAAAGGCCUUUACAUAUGCCUGAAUAAUUACACAAAAUAAAAACAAGUAGACUAACUCGUACACAUUUUGUUCACUACCGUUUUAAAGAAAACUAAUCAGUUGAAUUAUUUUAACCUCCCAUAUUUUGAUUAUUUCUGAUUAUUACAGACCAACCUGAUAGGUAUUGUGUCCUGGAAAUCCAACCUCCUGCAGGACUCCACUGUGUUUAACGGCUUCCACAAACUCCAGGUGGGAUCCAAUGAUUGUGAUCUUCCUUUUCCAGCUACGGCACACAGAGCAGUAAGCAAUCAAAUAAGAAUGUGUCACUAGAAAUAAUCAGAUUACACACAGCACUCUUAUAGCACCGUAUGUGGAGAAGAGCUACAGGACAUAUAGUUUAGGAUGUCACCUCUUCCUGUUCACAAUGGUAAAAUGUUAUUUAAGGAUUGGUAGACAUGAAGGAUAUCCUCAAUAUAACUAUCAAAAUUACUUUGAAGAAGUGCACAAAACUUUAGAUUGGGGGUUUACAGCAAAUGAAGGAUAUAUGUUUUAAUGAAAUAAUCUUGAAAUCGAUUUUUAGUGUAAAGGUAUUUUUAAAGUUGGUUAUUCGCCAAAUUUAAAAAGUAAAAUAAUGUACAGUAAGCCGAUGGUUAGGCAAAAUAGAGCUCCAAGAAGUGAGGAUUUUUUGUAGUAUUUAACUACAUCAGUAAUGUCUUGAUAUGUCAAGGGUAAUCUUGUUUAUCAAAGUCUAUAUGUUAGCAUUUUUAUGGUUUCUAUAGUCCUAAAACAGUCAUACCUGAACCAGGUGCUUUCAGGUGUAAUUUUUGUGCAGGAUGGUGCUGAGCGAUAGGUGAUUAAGGCGUUACCAUGUCAGCUACCAUCUGGGAGGAGAGCACAUACUUUGGCCACACCUUUAGAUUUUGCACUGGGUAUGUGGAACGUCAGAGUUUCACCAGUGUUGUUCCAAACAGGAGACCUAACCAGAGUGCACAGAGUGAGACAAAGAGAAACUGAAGCAGUGAGAUUCACAGAAGAUAAAAUGUAAUUUUCAGCACUACAAAUUCUUUUAAAGUAAAGUCAAUUUAAUAUUUAUAUAUUAAAUGUUUGUGUUUUGACAAUCCUCAACAUCCUCAAACUACUUUAGCCAAUAAACUUACAUUACCUAUUAAGUUGCCUAUUGUCAACCAUAUAGUAUAAAUACAAAUUUCAGCAAUCUCAAGAAUACACACUUCAACUUAAAAAUUAAGGGAUUUAAAAAAAAAACAGUAAUUGAUAGUGUGUCUCAAUCCAGGUUACAAAUGUAAAUAAACGCUUUUUGCUUUUAACACAACCAAUAUAAGGGUUGUAGCAUUCUUGCUAGAUUUAACACCCUCACAUAAUUGCUUCUUAACAAAAACUAAAAAAAUAUUCUUAAAUCAUUUUUUUUGUAUACACGAGACACGAAAUAUGUGUACAAACCUUGUGCCUCUAUCAAAUCAAAAUUUCAAUGAUCUUUUAAUUACGUUGAUCAAACUGAAUUUACAGUUUCUCUUAUUCCUUGGUCUCCACAUUUCUUUUCAGAAUAAAAGCGUCUGAAUUUACAGGAAACAAUCAUAUUCGUUUGAGAGGAUACUUUCAAAGUAAAAUGAACAACAACAUACUAUUAGGUUAUUUCUGUUUUAAUGCAAGAAUAUACAAAUGUCAUCUAUACAACAUACUUUUUGAAAAAUAGACCAAAGUAAGAAGCAUACUACUAAUAUCUGGCACAAACAAUAUAAUAUCUGUUUUAACUGACAAGAUGUCAAAGCUGAACACAACUAACUGAGAUUACAUUUGGAACUAUGAAAUUGGAUCCUGCGAUCCAUUUUCUAUUAUCCGACAAUGGUUCAGCUUCAGAGGAAAAUUACUAAUGGAUUCUGUUUAAGCCGUUAGAUAACACCAUGCAGCCAAAAACUAUACUACAAAAUAGAUGUGAGAAACCCUCUGGUACCAAACUUUUUCUGCUUUUAUGUGUUGAUAGCUGUUGGAACAGAUCACAAAAUAUCACAACACAAAAAAAUUAAAGAAAAUAUAAGAACAAAGACAGAUUUGUCAGGGCAAACUGUCAAACAUUUGUGUCUCAAAACCAGGCAACAUCUUAAGACACCUCUUUAGCAACCCUGUUUAAAAGACUCAUUCAAACAUUAGAGAGGAAUCAUGAAUUAGCUUGAAAAUCUUCAAUUUAAAGGGCAAAUACACUGUUUUAGUUUCAAGCAGGUCCCGAAGUAACUGUGAUCUAUUUUGAAAUAGUAAAAUGUGUGAAUUCUCAAUCUGACUGCCUUUUUUGUAUCAUUGAAGCUUUUGAAAUGUGAUUUUUAAGUGUGAAUAAAUCCCAUACAGUCACCCAUAAACUGACUCACUCUUGUGGUGUGCAGUCCAGGUCUGCCUGGAUCCUCACUCUGAUCACAGAACAGAGGUUUCUACCAGACAACACUGCGUUGUUUCUGCCGUGGAAAGACACAACACUGGGAGUGAUGGAGGAUAUCUGUGGUCUCUGACAGUCAAACC
rnacentral:lncRNA from 1 species